rnacentral:rRNA from 2 species
UACCUACUCUUGACAUCCAGAGAACUUUCCAGAGAUGGAUUGGUGCCUUCGGGAACUCUGAGACAGGUGCUGCAUGGCUGUCGUCAGCUCGUGUUGUGAAAUGUUGGGUUAAGUCCCGCAACGAGCGCAACCCUUAUCCUUUGUUGCCAGCGGUUAGGCCGGGAACUCAAAGGAGACUGCCAGUGAUAAACUGGAGGAAGGUGGGGAUGACGUCAAGUCAUCAUGGCCCUUACGAGUAGGGCUACACACGUGCUACAAUGGCGCAUACAAAGAGAAGCGACCUCGCGAGAGCAAGCGGACCUCAUAAAGUGCGUCGUAGUCCGGAUUGGAGUCUGCAACUCGACUCCAUGAAGUCGGAAUCGCUAGUAAUCGUAGAUCAGAAUGCUACGGUGAAUACGUUCCCGGGCCUUGUACACACCGCCCGUCACACCAUGGGAGUGGGUUGCAAAAGAAGUAGGUAGCUUAACCUUCGGGAGGGCGCUUACCACUUUGUGAUUCAUGACUGGGGUGAAGUCGUAACAAGGGUAGCC